GGGCGAUUAGCUCAGUUGGUUAGAGCACUGCCUUCACGCGGCAGAGGCCACUGGUUCGAGUCCAGUAUCGCCCA
rnacentral:tRNA from 1 species